rnacentral:lncRNA from 1 species
CUCCCAAAGUGCUGGGAUUACAGGCGUGAGCCAUCGUACCUGGCGUUACUUUCUUAUUAUCUCGCUUCUUCCACCUUCACUCAGACUUACUUUCUUCUCUUCGCCCCAUUUAGAACUUUUGUUCCCUGAAGAGUCAUCAGUGUUCAGCAUCCUGUCAAUUUAGUCAUAUAAUGAAAGUAUUCAAACUAAAUUACGAAUAAAGAUUGUGAACCCAACAAAGGCCCAGAAACAGCCUGAAGAGCCUCUGAACUAAGGCCACUUGAAGCAAGGAGGCACAAGUAAUUCUGCCAUAACGAAACUCACCUGAUUGGAAGAGGGGCGUGAAGAAAGGGUUUUCUAAGGCAGGAUCAAAAUGAGAGAUUCCAUCUCAGACCUUGGCCCUUCAUCUUUAGCAGGUGAUACUGUAGUCACCGGACCAACCCCCAGCCUUGAUCUCUC